rnacentral:rRNA from 1 species
UACAGAGUCUCAAGCGUUGUUCGGAUUCAUUGGGCGUAAAGGGUGCGUAGGCGGCGCGGUAAGUCGGGUGUGAAAUCUCGGAGCUUAACUCCGAAACUGCAUUCGAUACUGCCGUGCUUGAGGACUGGAGAGGAGACUGGAAUUUACGGUGUAGCGGUGAAAUGCGUAGAUAUCGUAAGGAAGACCAGUGGCGAAGGCGGGUCUCUGGACAGUUCCUGACGCUGAGGCACGAAGGCCAGGGGAGCAAACGGG